rnacentral:tRNA from 1 species
UACUAACCAGUGUUUGAGCACUUUUAAUUUUUAAUUAAAAAGUAAAAAAUAGUUAUGAA